rnacentral:rRNA from 1 species
GAUGAACGCUGGCGGCGUGCCUAAUACAUGCCAGUCGAGCGAACAGAUGAGGAGCUUGCUCCUCUGACGUUAGCGGCGGACGGGUGAGUAACACGUGGAUAACCUACCUAUAAGACUGGGAUAACUUCGGGAAACCGGAGCUAAUACCGGAUAAUAUAUUGAACCGCAUGGUUCAAUAGUGAAAGACGGUUUUGCUGUCACUUAUAGAUGGAUCCGCGCCGCAUUAGCUAGUUGGUAAGGUAACGGCUUACCAAGGCAACGAUGCGUAGCCGACCUGAGAGGGUGAUCGGCCACACUGGAACUGAGACACGGUCCAGACUCCUACGGGAGGCAGCAGUAGGGAAUCUUCCGCAAUGGGCGAAAGCCUGACGGAGCAACGCCGCGUGAGUGAUGAAGGUCUUCGGAUCGUAAAACUCUGUUGUUAGGGAAGAACAAAUGUGUAAGUAACUAUGCACGUCUUGACGGUACCUAAUCAGAAAGCCACGGCUAACUACGUG